GAUGAACGCUAGCGGCGUGCCUAAUACAUGCAAGUCGAGCGAACAGACGAGGAGCUUGCUCCUCUGACGUUAGCGGCGGACGGGUGAGUAACACGUGGAUAACCUACCUAUAAGACUGGGAUAACUUCGGGAAACCGGAGCUAAUACCGGAUAAUAUAUUGAACCGCAUGGUUCAAUAGUGAAAGACGGUUUUGCUGUCACUUAUAGAUGGAUCCGCGCCGCAUUAGCUAGUUGGUAAGGUAACGGCUUACCAAGGCAACGAUGCGUAGCCGACCUGAGAGGGUGAUCGGCCAAACUGGAACUGAGACACGGUCCAGACUCCUACGGGAGGCAGCAGUAGGGAAUCUUCCGCAAUGGGCGAAAGCUUGACGGAGCAACGCCGCGUGAGUGAUGAAGGUCUUCGGAUCGUAAAACUCUGUUAUUAGGGAAGAACAAAUGUGUAAGUAACUAUGCACGUCUUGACGGUACCUAAUCAGAAAGCCACGGCUAACUACGUG
rnacentral:rRNA from 1 species